GAUGAACGCUGGCGGCGUGCCUAAUACAUGCAAGUCGAGCGAACAGACGAGGAGCUUGCUCCUCUGACGUUAGCGGCGGACGGGUGAGUAACACGUGGAUAACCUACCUAUAAGACUGGGAUAACUUCGGGAAACCGGAGACAAUACUGGAUAAUAUAUUGAACGGCAUGGUUCAAUAGUGAAAGACGGUUUUGCUGUCACUUAUAGAUGGAUCCGCGCCGCAUUAGCUAGUUGGUAAGGUAACGGCUUACCAAGGCAACGAUGCGUAGCCGACCUGAGAGGAUGAUCGGCCACACUGGAACUGAGACACGGUCCAGACUCCUACGGGAGGCAGCAGUGGGGAAUCUUCCGCAAUGGGCGAAAGCCUGACGGAGCAACGCCGCGUGAGUGAUGAAGGUCUUCGGAUCGUAAAACUCUGUUAUUGGGGAAGAACAAAUGUGUAAGUAUCUAUGCACGUCUUGACGGUACCUAAACAGAAAGCCACGGCUAACUACGUG
rnacentral:rRNA from 1 species